GAUGAACGCUGGCGGCGUGCCUAAUACAUGCAAGUCGAGCGAACGGACGAGACGCUUGCUUCUCUGAUGUUAGCGGCGGACGGGUGAGUAACACGUGGAUAACCUACCUAUAAGACUGGGAUAACUUCGGGAAACCGGAGCUAAUACCGGAUAAUAUUUUGAACCGCAUGGUUCAAAAGUGAAAGACGGUCUUGCUGUCACUUAUAGAUGGAUCCGCGCUGCAUUAGCUAGUUGGUAAGGUAACGGCUUACCAAGGCAACGAUGCAUAGCCGACCUGAGAGGGUGAUCGGCCGCACUGGAACUUAGACACGGUCCAGACUCCUACGGGAGGCAGCAGUAGGGAAUCUGCCGCAAUGGGCGAAAGCCUGACGGAGCAACGCCGCGUGAGUGAUGAAGGUCUUCGGAUCGUAAAACUCUGUUAUUAGGGAAGAACAUAUGUGUAAGUAACUGUGCACAUCUUGACGGUACCUAAUCAGAAAGCCACGGCUAACUACGUG
rnacentral:rRNA from 1 species